CCAGGGUAGUAUAUAGCUAUGUCUUGAAACCCAAAGAGUUUGGCGGUAUCUCAGUCUAGUUAGAGGAGCUUGUUCGGUAAUCGAUAAUCCGCGAAAAAUCUUACACACUUUUGUAGUCAGCUUAUAUACCGUCGUUAUUAGAUAAUACUAAAAAGUAAAUAAUUAUCUAAAAAUAUUUGAAUAUAAUAUAUCAGGUCAAGGUGUAGCUUAUGAGUGUGAGUUGAAUGAGCUACAAUUUAGUAAAUAAAAACGGAUAUUAUUUUUAAAUAAAUAAUUAAAGGUGGAUUUAAUAGUAAUUG
rnacentral:rRNA from 1 species